rnacentral:pre_miRNA from 1 species
UCCUCAUUUCACGUGCUCUCUCGCCGGUCAGAGAUGCGAGAGAAAGCACGCGAAAUGAGGAGA